GUGCCAGCCGCCGCGGUAAUACGGAGGGUGCAAGCGUUGUCCGGAAUCACUGGGCGUAAAGGGUGCGCAGGCGGGGCAGCAAGUCGGAGGUGAAAGCCCAUGGCUCAACCAUGGAAGUGCCUUCGAAACUGUUGCUCUUGAGUCCGGGAGAGGGAGGCAGAAUUCCCCGUGUAGCGGUGAAAUGCGUAGAUAUGGGGAGGAAUACCGGUGGCGAAGGCGGCCUCCUGGCCCGGUACUGACGCUGAGGUGCGAAAGCGGGGGCAGCGAACGGGAUUAGAUACCCGGGUAGUCC
rnacentral:rRNA from 1 species